GCGCUGAGAUGCUCGGGGCAGCUGCAAGCCUGGCUUUGAGGCCAGCCCUCGGGCUGGUACCCGGGCUGGGGGAGUGCUGUUUGUUCUGGGUGUAUGUGUGUGAUGGUCACGGGUUCGUGCUGGUUCGAGCUGGCGGUCGGUGGCGGUCGCUUGCGACACGUACCAGCAGUUAGUUCGGUCCGGUUCGGGCUCUCAUUGCAUGUUCUCGGUGUAAAAGCCGGUUAUCUGUUUGACCCGUCUUGAAACACGGACCAAGGAGUUUAGCGUAUGCGCGAGUCAUUGGGUGUUGAAAACCCAAGGGCGUAAUGAAAGUAAAGGUGUCCUUGCGGAACUGAUGUGUGAUCCCGAGCACUUCGGUGCGAGGGCGCAACAUUGUCCCGUCUCGAUCGCUUGCGAUGGGGCGGAGACAGAGCGUAUGCGCUGAGACCCGAAAGAUGGUGAACUAUUCCUGAGCAGGAUGAAGCCAGAGGAAACUCUGGUGGAAGUCCGAAGCGAUUCUGACGUGCAAAUCGAUCGUCUGACUUGGGUAUAGGGGCGAAAGACUAAUCGAA
rnacentral:rRNA from 1 species